rnacentral:rRNA from 1 species
GAUGAACGCUGGCGGCGUGCUUAAUACAUGCAAGUCGAACGGAGACUGUAGCAAUACUGUCUUAGUGGCGAACGGGUGAGUAACGCGUUGGUGACCUGCCCCGAAGAGGGGGAUAACAGUCCGAAAGGAUUGCUAAUACCCCAUGUGGUCGUUUGGAUUAGAUGCCUUACGACUAAACGGAUUUAUUCGCUUCGGGAGGGGCCUGCGUCCCAUCAGCUAGUUGGUAGGGUAAUAGCCUACCAAGGCGAUGACGGGUAGGGGACCUGAGAGGGUGGCCCCCCACAAUGGAACUGAAACACGGUCCAUACACCUACGGGUGGCAGCAGUAGGGAAUAUUAGUAAUGGGCGAAAGCCUGAACUAGCAACGCCGCGUGUGCGAAGAAGGCCUUCGGGUUGUAAAGCACUUUUCGGGAGGAAGAGGAAGGACUGUACUCCCAGAAUAAGCCUCGGCUAACUACGUG